AGAUCACAUCACAUAUGGGUGGUUUAAUUUGGUCAGUCAAUUAAAAACUCCUGAAUGGAUGAAGUUAGAUUGUGUAUAGAAAUAUGGGCAAUAUCAAGGCAACCCAAACAACAUGAAGUCUGGCUUUCUCAAAAGAAAGAAGGGGACACUGCAAGGUCAUGAAACCUAAUGCCUGGGAUGUCAUCUCUGCUUGAUUGGUGUCUUGGUAACUGGACAGUUUUGGAGGGGAAAAGAUGAAAAACAUGCUUGGCUCAUCAAUCCCUGAUGCAUUAAUGUCAUCUCAGUGUCCCCAUGUGAAAGAAAAAGUAACUUUCUGCCUUGACUUCAGCAGCAGGUUUUUACCUGAAGGU
rnacentral:lncRNA from 1 species